CGAGAAGCGAGCUCCAACUCCCGACCUUAUUGGCGGAGAUCCCCAAGCCCAGCACGCCCGCCUGCGAGAGCUCUUGCCACCAGAGCACUGCAGCGAGAGUCACCAAGCCUAGGCCGCGCCGGAGCCGGUCGAGACGCUCCGACGACCUACUCCCACACGGCACAAAGGCACAACACAAAAGCAAAAGAACUACCACUACAUCUACUCUGUACAGGAGGAGGAGCCAACCACCUAGUCCAUCCCCUCGCCGGCCAGCCAGGCCGCCGGAGAGAAGGAAGGAAAGGGGCGGCGGAGAAGAGCUGGAAACGACUCUCAACGGGAGAGGAUAAGGUUGGACCUGUCUCUGGUACCUGAUGUGCCAUAUGUUAACUGAUAUGUACCUGAGAGGGUUGGAGUGAUUUCUAUUUGGGCCGCCUCUUCAGAAGUACUGGGCAGAGAAGCAGCAGCAAGAUUAGGCAACAAAAGAAGCCCAAACUGAGCUUGCCUCUGAACUUGCCUCUGAACUUGCUUCGCCUGGUCGAAUCAGUAGAGCCUUAUGGUCCAUGUAGACCGCCUUCAUCUGCCUGUCUUUUAUUGCUUUUCUCUAGCUUAACAUAUAUCAGUAUAAUUGUGAUGCAACUGAGUUCCAUUGUUUGAGAGGCAUUCUCCUUUUAAAAGAGAUGCUCAUGUGUUUGAGAGGCAUUCUCCUGUCAUUUCUGUUUGUGUUGUUUUGAGAUACUCUGAAUUUAAUGGGACAUUUUCCUAUCA